rnacentral:rRNA from 1 species
AUUGAACGCUGGCGGCAGGCCUAACACAUGCAAGUCGAGCGGAGCGGCGGACGGGUGAGUAAUUCCUAGGAAUCUGCCUGGUAGUUGGGGCUAACGUCCGGUAACGGGCGCUAAUCCCGUAUACUAUCAGCUGAGCCUAGGUCGGAUUAGCUAGUUGGUGGGGUAAAGGCCUACCAAGGCGACGAUCCGUAGCUGGUCUGAGAGGAUGAUCAGUCACACUGGAACUGAGACACGGUCCAGACUCCGACGGGAGGCAGCAGUGGGGAAUAUUGGACAAUGGGCGAAAGCCUGAACCAGCCAUGCCGCGUGAGUGAAGAAGGUCUUCGGAUCGUAAAGCACUUUAAGUUGGGAGGCGUUACCAAAAGAAUAAGCACCGGCUAACUUCGUGCCAGCAGCCGCGGUAAUAC